rnacentral:rRNA from 1 species
UACGUAGGGGGCUAGCGUUGCUCGGAAUCACUGGGCGUAAAGGGCUCGUAGGCUGGCGUGUAAGUCUGACGUGAAAUCUCCACCGCUCACCAGGGAGAGGCCGCUGGAUACUGCACGUCUGGAGUUCGGCAGAGGACCAUGGAAUUCCCGGUGUAGUGGUGGAAUGCGUAGAGAUCGGGAGGAACACCAGUGGCGAAAGCGGCUCCCUGGUCCAAAACUGACGCUGAGGGGCGAAAGCGUGGGGAGCGAACGGG